rnacentral:rRNA from 1 species
AGAGUUUGAUCCUGGCUCAGGAUGAACGCUAGCGGCAGGCCUAACACAUGCAAGUCGAGGGGCAUCGGGGUUGAAGCUUGCUUCAACUGCCGGCGACCGGCGCACGGGUGCGUAACGCGUAUGCAACCUACCCAGAACAGGGGGAUAACACUGAGAAAUUGGUACUAAUACCCCAUAAUAUAUAGGGAGGCAUCUUCCUAUGUUGAAAACUCCGGUGGUUUUGGAUGGGCAUGCGUUGUAUUAGCUGGUUGGUGAGGUAACGGCUCACCAAGGCGACGAUACAUAGGGGGACUGAGAGGUUAACCCCCCACAUUGGUACUGAGACACGGACCAAACUCCUACGGGAGGCAGCAGUGAGGAAUAUUGGUCAAUGGGCGUAAGCCUGAACCAGCCAAGUCGCGUGAGGGAUGAAGGUUCUAUGGAUCGUAAACCUCUUUUAUAAGGGAAUAAAGUGCGGGACGUGUCCUGUUUUGUAUGUACCUUAUGAAUAAGGAUCGGCUAACUCCGUGCCAGCAGCCGCGGUAAUACGGAGGAUCCAAGCGUUAUCCGGAUUUAUUGGGUUUAAAGGGUGCGUAGGCGGUUUGAUAAGUUAGAGGUGAAAUACCGGGGCUUAACUCCGGAACUGCCUCUAAUACUGUUGGGCUAGAGAGUAGUUGCGGUAGGCGGAAUGUAUGGUGUAGCGGUGAAAUGCUUAGAGAUCAUACAGAACACCGAUUGCGAAGGCAGCUUACCAAACUAUAUCUGACGUUGAGGCACGAAAGCGUGGGGAGCAAACAGGAUUAGAUACCCUGGUAGUCCACGCAGUAAACGAUGAUAACUCGCUGUCGGCGAUACACGGUCGGUGGCUAAGCGAAAGCGAUAAGUUAUCCACCUGGGGAGUACGUUCGCAAGAAUGAAACUCAAAGGAAUUGACGGGGGCCCGCACAAGCGGAGGAACAUGUG